GAAACACAGCAGCAUCCUUCUCUGUUAAAACCCCUUCCUUUAAAACAUGUUUGCAUGUUCUCUCUCAGAGCGUGGUGUGUGUGUGUGUGUGUGUGUGUGUGUGUAUGGUAGUUUGUGUGUGUGUGUUCCUACAGUCUAUCUUCUGUCUCAGAGGGUUGUGUGUGUGUGUGUGUGUGUGUGUGUGUGUCUGUACGUGUGUGUGUGUGUGUGUGUGUGUGUGUGUGUGUGUGUGUGUGUGUGUGUGUGUGUGUGUGUGUGUGUGUGUGUGUGUGUGUGUGUGUGUGUGUGUGUGUGUGUGUCCCUACAGUCUAUCUUCUGUCUCAGGGGGUUGGUUCCGUACAGCAGGACGUGGGCCUCUGAGUGGACUGUCU